ensembl:lncRNA
GUGGUGAGCACGACUGCACAUACCACACUAGUCAUCAGGAUCUAAUACACUCAGCUGCUCAAAAUACAUGAUUUCGUCAUGCUAAUGGCAGGCCUGUUCAGCCCAGGCUAGUAAUCAAUACCCCGUAUUUAAGGCCUGCUAAGAGAUCAAACAUAAAAUGCUCUAAAUCACGACAUCGCCCUUCCCUUUGCUCAGUUUCUCCCUUUGAGCGAUCAAACAGCUUGGAAUCCUUUGACUAUAUCUUAAAGUUUGGGCUUCCCUGGUGGCUCAGAUGGUAAAGAAUCUGCCUGCAAUGCAGGAGACCCGAGUUCAAUCCCUAGGUUGGGGAAGAUCCCCUGGAAAAGGAAAUGGCACCCCACUCUAGGAUUCUCACCUGGGAAAUCCCAUGGACAGAAGAGCCUGGUGGGCUAUAGUCCGUGGUGUCGCAAAGAGUCGGGCAUGACUGAGUGACUAAGCAUGACUUGCACGCAUCUUAGUGUCUGAGUUGUAAAUAUAUAACACUUAAUUUCUUGUAAGUUUUAAUUUUUUUUUAAAUGAAGGGGAAUACUCUGCAAAUAUAGAAGUAAUAGAUUUUCGUUGCUAAAAGUUUAGGACCUAAGCACUAAAAGGAAUAAACUGUGUUACCCUUCCACCUUCCUGAGGUUGAGAAUUGCAGUGUCAGGGGAGACACACACACACACACACACACACACACACGCGCGCACACACACACACACACACAUGCCACUGAAUUAAAACAAACGAAACAGCCCAUUUUAAAGGAAUUUGUACUCCUCCGAUUAUGACAAAGAUGGGACGCUUUUGCACUGGAUAUUGCAAAUUGUAUGUGUUUAUUUUCCUAUAUUUCCCUGUUCUUCUCUGUGUAGGGCUGUGUAGAAGUGAACACAGGAUGUUCACAUCUGUGAAGGCAACAGAAACGUCAUUCCAAAUUGCAAUGGAGACAGAGAGCAUCCGGUCGGCUUCAUGGCCGGAAGGCCCUCGGAUAGCAAGGCUGGAGUGUGGGAAAUGCUGUCUCCUCACAGGAUGGAUGCCGUCAGGUUUGUGUUGUGCUUUAAACCCUGUAAUGUUUGGUGAAAUGCGGCAGAUUUGGGCUCCUGAAGUUAGAACGCUGGAUCGCUCAGUCGUGUCCGACUCUUUGCAACCCCCCUGCACCGUAGGCCACCAGGCUCCCCCGUCCAUGGGACUCUCCCGGCAAGAAUACUGGAGUGGGUUGCCAUUUCCUCCUCCAGAGUUGGAAUUAGAAUGGAGAAAACUGAAACGUCCCUGGCGGUCCAGUGGGUUAAGACGUUGCCUUCCAGUGCAGGAGUGGCCGGUUCCGGUCUUGAUCAGGGAGCUAAGAUCACACUUGCCUUGCAGCUGAAAACAACAACAACAACACACAAAAAAAACAAACCAAAGUAUAAAACAGAAGAAGUAUUGUAACAAAUUCAAUAAAGAAUUUUAAAAUGGUCCA